AUUGAACGCUGGCGGCAUGCCUUACACAUGCAAGUCGAACGGUAACAGGCCGCAAGGUGCUGACGAGUGGCGAACGGGUGAGUAAUGCAUCGGAACGUGCCCAGUCGUGGGGGAUAACUGCUCGAAAGAGCAGCUAAUACCGCAUACGACCUGAGGGUGAAAGCGGGGGACCGUAAGGCCUCGCGCGAUUGGAGCGGCCGAUGUCAGAUUAGGUAGUUGGUGGGGUAAAGGCCUACCAAGCCGACGAUCUGUAGCUGGUCUGAGAGGACGACCAGCCACACUGGGACUGAGACACGGCCCAGACUCCUACGGGAGGCAGCAGUGGGGAAUUUUGGACAAUGGGGGCAACCCUGAUCCAGCAAUGCCGCGUGCAGGAAGAAGGCCUUCGGGUUGUAAACUGCUUUUGUACGGAACGAAACGGUCUGGGUUAAUACCCUGGGCUAAUGACGGUACCGUAAGAAUAAGCACCGGCUAACUACGUGCCAGCAGCCGCAGUAAUAC
rnacentral:rRNA from 1 species